AAUAAUAUAUGCUUGAAAUGAAUGUCAAAUACAUUAUAAUUGUUAUUUUAGAGUGUUACGCUGUGUGUGAAGGUGAAUGAUAUGAUUUUGGAGUAAAUUAAGAUGCAUUGUGGGAGUGAUAUGCCAGAUGAAUAUUUCAUAUCUCUAGUGGGAUAAAUAGCGUACACCUAAGAUGAGUGUAAGAUACGUUAUGACUUCUAUUUUGAAAAUAACGUACGACUGAGAUGAAUGCCAAAUAUAUUAUGACUAACGUGUGCUUGAAAUAAGUGUUAGAUAUGUUAUAAUCAUUAUUCUGGAGUAUUGUGCUAUGUACGAAGGUAGGUGGCAUGGUUUUGGAGUAGAUUAGGGUGUAGGGUGCAGGGUAUGAACUUACAAUCAUGGGGAUGAUAUGUUAGAUAGAUAUUUUAUAUUACUAGUGGGAUGAAGAAUUAACGUAUGCCUGAAAUGAGUGCAAGAUAUAUUAUGACCACUAUUUUGAAAAUAACGUACAAUUGAUGAGAUGAAUAUAGAGUCAUUAUGACCACUAUUCUUUGGAAUAAUGUAUGCUUAAAAUAAGUGUAAGGGACAUUAUAAUCGCUAUUCUAGAGUGUUAGUUGUGUAUGAAGAUUGGUGGUAUGGUUUUGAAUUAAAUUAGCGUGGAGCUCGUUGGUAUUUGACUGUCAUAUUGUGAUCGAGUUGAGUUUUUUUUUCGGUAUUAGUAAUGUAGAAUUUUUUUUCUUUAUUUGUUAUUGGUUUUAUAUUUUUUGAUCUAGACUUUUUUCAUAUUUGAAAAGUAUUAU
rnacentral:lncRNA from 1 species